GCUGGCGGCGUGCUUAACACAUGCAAGUCGAACGCGAAAUUUUUCUUCGGAAAGAGAGUAGAGUGGCGCACGGGUGAGUAACGCGUAAAUAAUCUACCCCUGCAUUUGGGAUAACCCACCGAAAGGUGUGCUAAUACCGGAUACGUUCUUUAUGUUGCGAGACGUAGAGAAGAAAGGUGGCCUCUGAUACAAGCUACUGUGCGGGGAGGAGUUUGCGUACCAUUAGCUAGUUGGUAGGGUAAAGGCCUACCAAGGCGACGAUGGUUAGCGGGUCUGAGAGGAUGAUCCG
rnacentral:rRNA from 1 species